CGAACAUGAUAGUGCUCUACUUAAAAUACCUGUAAUGAAGUGUUCCAGUAUUAUAAAGGUGCACGUGAAAUUUGUGCUUUGUCAUUAAAAUAAUUGCUAACCUAGAACUACAAGGAAACACAGGAGUUCGCAUGCAAAACAAUGGGCAUUUUUCCGGUAUAUUUAAAGGCCAGACGAAAGCUGGCAGCGUGGCGACUAGUGUAAAAAGUAAAAUCCAAAAGAAUUUACAUGAAACAGAAACAUUUAGGUUUCCUAAUCAGCAGUGCUCGUCCAGGGAUUAGAGCUAUUACUUUUGCAUUCUCAGAGGUAUGCUACUGAGUAAAAUUAGAAGAAAUAGUCUUAUAAUUACUGAGAAACUUACAUGCUUUUAUAUUAUAUUUUCAUAUAUGUAACAUUAAGCAAAUAUAACAAACAGAUAUUUAUUUCCGUUAUGCAGUGAAACGUUUCCAAGCUAGUUUUCGAAAAGUAAAUGACAGCAAUCUUUUUUAGAGCUGCGUAGAUGUACCAGAAAUCAAGUAAUGAGUCUUCAUCAUUGCUAUGUACAAGCAAGGCUUCAUUCUCUGUAAAAUCAAUUUUUAAAAGUUUUUGC